AUGCUUCACCAACUGAGCCACGGAGACACCCCUGAAGUCUGGUUUAAAGGUCUUUGCAAGCUGGGGUUUUAUUUUGAAGUCAUCUCUACACCCACUGUGGGGCUCGAACUCACAACUCCGAGAUCAAGAGUCACUGGCUCCACCAAUGGGGUCAACCAGAGACCCCAGGAAACUCUUCAUUUAAAUGAAAAUCAAGGUAUAUUAUGACAUGAUUGUAUUUCAUUGACACACUUUUAUUUAAUGAUCUUUAAUGCUUGAAACAGUCUCCUGGAUUGUGGGCUUGAAUGCAGGAAGUAGGAAGUGUAAUCCCACCCAUUGUUCAGCCUGGUUUUGACCAACAUUCCCAAAGCCAUAAGAGUACAAGCACUGCUUCUCGGAUAUCAGCUUUUAGAGUCAACCUGUAAAAAAUCCAGAACACCUGGUUAUGGUUGCAGGAACGAUUGUCAAGCCUCAAAAUCUUGAAUUUGUAAAUGUGGGCUGAGAAAAGAUUGCCAGAGGAAGUGAGGAAGAGGAGUUACAAGCCGGCUUCUCUGGCCAAACACACAAAAGUAGACAGGACAAUAGGGUUUUACCUGUAUGACCGAAAUAAGUAAUAUAAAACCAGAAAUAAUUAGACACAUAUCGUUAGGAAGAGUGGAAGAGGAAGUGGAGCUACUCAAGUGCCUCGUGUUUUGUGUUGGAAAGUCGAUGUUCACGAAAGAUGAUACAGAAGGGAAUUGAAGGAUGCGCAUUUUAGCUAAGAUUUUGGAAAUAAUUUCCAGAAGAAAUAGGAACAGAAACCCUUAACAAGGCUUGUUUCCGGGUCGCAGGGUUGGAGUGGGGUGGGACAGGACGGGGACGGGUGAGGUAGCAUUGCUUUCCAACUUAACAGUCUCUGUUCUGCUGGGUCUGCUUUCAAGCAAAUGCAGCAUUUUGGUUCAUAGAAAAACAUUAUUGGGGCGCCUGGGGGGCUCAGUCAGUGAAGCAUCUACCUUCGGCUCAGGUCAUGAUUCCAGGGUCCCAGGAUCAAGUCCUGUAUCGGGCUCCCCGCAGGGAGCCUGCUUCUCCCUCUGCCUAUGUCUUUCUUUGUCUCUCUGUGUCUCUCAGGAAUAAAUAAGUAAAAUCUUUAAAGAAAAAGAGAGAG
rnacentral:lncRNA from 1 species